UCCAGAUCGAGGCGGGGUCCUUCUUCCUCCGUCUGCUUCUGCUCUCUCGCCCAUUUUCUCCCCAUCCCUUCCAUUCCCUCCCGCUGCUGCUGGAUUUGGGGGGGUGGGGAGAGAGCCAUGCCAGUGUCGAUGUCGGUUGGCUGAUUUGGUUCUUUGCUCCCCAGGUGGCCUCUGCGCAUCUCCUUCGCCCGCUCGAGCCGUAGAAGCAUGGGCGCGAACGGCCCCACUAGCAGCACCGUCGCCUCAUCAUCCUCUUUGCCGGCCACUGCCGGCUGCGGUGGCGGUGCGGCCCACAAGCCGUGGCUGUUUGUUGGGCUCGGGAACCCCGGCAAGAUGUACAAGGGGACCCGCCACAACGUAAGAUUCCGGCGCUCUAGCUUUCUGGAUCACGCUUUGCUUGUCUUGUAAGGAGCUGCGCGUUUUCAGUUGGUAGCCCUGUCGACUGUCCAAGUUAAUCAUGAUGCAAUUCAUAAAUCCUACUAGUAAUUUCUAGAAAUUACUGCAAUUUUUUGAAGCCGAUUUAACUAUGUCUACAAACACUGAUGUUGCGUGGCUGGAAAGGCUAAGUAGGCUUGAUGCUAAGCUCUUCGCCAGGGUAAAGGUGUUAUAUUUUUGGUUGCUUGAUACUGCAAACUCUUGGCUUUCUGUUAAUUGCGUACUAUCCCGAUUAGUGUGAUUAGUUGAACUAUACUCUGGAUUACAGUAUGUCACUAUUAUAUCCUGUUGGUAAUCAUUAUGUUGUUGCAUACAGGUUGACAAGAUGGGGUUCAGACGCCCCAGCAAGAUCCAGGCCGUCACGCUUCCCAUGAUCCUCACGCCGCCCUACAAGAACCUCGUAGCCCAGGCGCACAACGGCUCCGGCAAGACCACCUGCUUCGUCCUCGGCAUGCUCAGCCGCGUCGACCCCAGCUGCAUGAGUCCCCAGGCCAUCUGCAUCUGCCCUACUAGGGAGCUUGCGCAGCAGGUGUUGAUGCAGGCAGAUCUGUUCCUGACCAAGCUGACCAGCAUGUGCGAGAGGAGCACGGAGAAGGGCUUUAUGUGGGUCACCAUGAAGCGAUGUGAGAGACCCCCAACCCUUACAGCUGGCUCGUGAGGUGUGGGUUGUAGAUUUGAUGGGUUCAGCAACUCUGAUGUGACGAGUUGUUCGAUAUGCGCAGCGUCGAUGAAGUGUUAGGCUAGGUUGAAGAAGAUGGUGAGUAAGGGGGAGCCUGUUGAGUACCGAUGCCUGGUCUGCGCCACCGAUGGCAAGAGGAACAUCUCCACCUCGGUACGAGAUGGCUCUGACCAGAAUUGGUCUUGCUGGCAUCGCCGUCAUGGGGCAGAACCUUGCCCUCAACCUUCUCCCGCGCCCUUUUUGCUCAGGCGGUGGUGCACAUCCCGCGCCAGUUCAAGGUGUCGGACUGGUUCCUGAACAGGAAGAAGGACUACAAGGACGUGAGGUUCUCCCAGGUCGUCUCCAACGCCGUCGACAUGAAGCUCAGGGAUGACCUCGAGAGGCUAAAGAAGACCAGGUAUAACCUCGCCGUUCCCUGUUCUUUUCCCCCCUUACUAUUGGUUGAUAUAUGACUAUGUGUUAGAUUCAAUUACUGAAGAUGCUUGCACUUCAUAUCAGGACAAGCAGUUUGUGUCUUGCCUGGUAGUAUACAGUUUAAUUUGCUAUUAUUAGCUAGGGUUGUUGAUAGACAUAAUUUUCUGCUGGAAGUCAAAUCUCCUAAACACUAGAAUGCCUGAAAUGUCAGGGUAGCAAGUACUAGCCAUGUGCUUCAUUCUAUGUACCGUUCUGGUGUCUGUGCAUGUAUGGGCUAGCUUUUUGUGUAUAAUAGUGAGUUGAUGCUUCUUUCUACAGAAAUACAGCAUGUUAGCUCUAUGGAUGUUUAUUUACCUGCAACUUCUGCCAGCUCUAACUUGGUUAUAUAACAGUUCAAUUCAGUCAAAUCUUUGGGGUGUUGAUACACUACUGUGCAAGUUCUAUGGUAUGUGAGUUCCUUCUAUUGCUGCAAGCAUUGACACAAUAUGUCAUGUGCAAGGAGCUCCGCAUCCGAGUCUCGUCCAUCCUCGGCAGC